UACGAAGGGGGCUAGCGUUGCUCGGAAUCACUGGGCGUAAAGCGCACGUAGGCGGAUAUUUAAGUCGGUGGUGAAAUCCUGGAGCUCAACUCCAGAACUGCCUCCGAUACUGAAUGUCUUCGAGUCCGGGAGAGGUGAGUGGAACUGCGAGUGUAGAGGUGAAAUUCGUAGAUAUUCGCAAGAACACCAGUGGCGAAGGCGGCUCACUGGCCCGGUACCGACGCUGAGGUGCGAAAGCGUGGGGAGCAAACAGG
rnacentral:rRNA from 1 species